AUUGAACGCUGGCGGAAUGCUUUACACAUGCAAGUCGAACGGCAGCACGGACCUCGGUCUGGUGGCGAGUGGCGAACGAGUGAGUAAUACAUCGGAACGUGCCCAAUCGUGGGGGAUAACGUAGCGGAAGCUACGCUAAUACCGCAUACGAUCUAAGGAUGAAAGCGGGGGAUCGCAAGACCUCGCGCGGUUGGAGCGGCCGAUGGCAGAUUAGGUAGUUGGUAGGGUAAAGGCCUACCAAGCCGACGAUCUGUAGCUGGUCUGAGAGGAUGAUCAGCGAAACUGGGACUGAGACACGGCCCAGACUCCUACGGGAGGCAGCAGUGGGGAAUUUUGGACAAUGGACGCAAGUCUGGUCCAGCCAUUCCGCGUGCAGGAUGAAGGCCCUCGGGUUGUAAACUGCUUUUGUACAGAACGAAAAGGCUCUGGUUAAUACCUAGGGCUCAUGACGGUACUGUAAGAAUAAGCACCGGCUAACUACGUGCCAGCCGCCGCCGUAA
rnacentral:rRNA from 1 species